UCUCCUCUCCUCCCUACGUGGUUGGUGGGGUUGUUGCACAUAUGCUUCCUUCUCAAGGAAAACCUCAAACUCUUGGCACCAACACCUUACAAGGAAAACAAAACCUUUUGUCUCCAUUCGUUACAAUGCCUACACUGUAAGUUUUGCACAAAACACUCACUAUUCAACCACCUUCAGAGGUGAAUGCUAAUUCACCUUUCAUCACCAAGUAAUAAUUAAAUGAUAUGAAAGAGCAAAAAGGCCACAUCCAAGAGGCUUCAGGCACUCAAAGCACAACUUGGAUAGGCACUUAAAGCAUCCACUGAUGGUGGCAGUUGUUAUUAGCGUGAUGCUUCAACAUUAUUUAACAACAAUUUAAGAUCUACUUGCCAGAAAGAGUAAAUGGGGAGUGCAGCUUUGGGGCCCAGUGCCAGGCACACUCAUAAAGGAAAGGAAGAAUGAGUUUCUCUUUCCUGAACAGUUUCUAAAUUUUACAAGAAAUAGUCCUGGUAUAUGCACACAAGGAGCUCCACUGAAAUCAACUGCAUCAACAUGCAGCUUGUUCAGUUCUACCCAUAAAAGCUCAAAAGCUUUGCUAAAGUGAGGCUGGCUAUGCAUUACAGACACUCAGCACUUCCUAAAGGCUGCCCCUUCUCCAUCCCAUUCAACCUCCUCAGGAGACUGCUGGACCAACAAGCCAUAAAGCUUUUGUGUUAAUCUCUUGCAAAAUGACUGUUAGCCAAGAUGAAGAAACAGCAAGAGCUGCUCUGUUCUCUGUACAGCACUGCAGUUUUUAGAAUAAAAUAGUGGAUUUGGGGAAGAAAAAAAAAAUCUCCAUGCCAUGAUAAUGCAACCACCACCAUGUAUGGCUUAAGAUUAUGCGGACAAGAUACAGGAAUUCAAGUGUUCAGGGAUUAUAAUGUCUUCUCCUUACAAUCAGCAAUUUUCUGUAACUGACACUUAAAACCACUAAACCAUUCUCAGUCUCUUUUGAAGAACAGAGGCCUUUUAGAAAGCUCAACUGUAAACUACAGGAGAUGAUGCUAAAAGUCAGAUGAAAACUCCCCAGUGCUAAUACCAUGGAACAUAAGCUUUGUACCGUACGGUAGUAUUUAAUAAGUUACCCAACAUAAUCUGGAAACUUACAUAUAUAUUUGCAUAUAUCCUUCAUCAGUCAGCUCAAAUCUAUCAAAGCAUCAUGUGAAGUUACUAUAUGAACCAUAAGAGAGCAGAUAAAACACACAAAGCUACUUAAACCAGAUAAAUUAUUUUCUAUACAUAGAUGUAGGUAAAUCAACACCGCCUAAGUUUUACAAAUAUCCCUCUGGAAAUGCUGGGAAGUGUAUUCUCAUUGUAAGUGAGAUGUUCUCGCUUUGCUGAGAACGGAGAUGUCUCUGUAAAAUUGCCUAUGUGUUACCCAUAUAGUACAGUUCAUGCUACUGUAAAUCACUGGGCAAAUACUACUACAUGAGAUCAGCAGAAAUCUACACAGUGAGGUUGUUAUAUCAUACAAAGUGUGAAAAUGAGAGAGGUAGCUGGGUGCCUCACCUCCUUAGGAUCACUGGUGUUUUUCUGAUAGUAAAAUAUGCAGUGGUGGCAAUAACACAUAUUCCACUCUGAAUAACCUCACUGACAGCUUUUUUCCUCCCUCUCUCCAAACUCUAAGGAUUCUAUCUAGAAUUAAUCUGAGAAUAAACCAGUGCCCACUGAAAGAAUGGGAUUAGUUAUAAAGAGGAGCUGCUUGCUUCACGUGCUUAUAUUGCACAUUUACAUUCACAUGCAAGUUUAGUGAGAUACACCAACAAUUAAGAAAUGCUGUGAAUGUAGGAAAGUUUAUUUAUUCUGUAUGUGGGGGGGAGAAGAAAAAUGUAAACACACUGAUCAGUUGCUGCAUAUAAAGCAGGACAUGUGAAACCCAAGCAGUCUUUGGCUUCACUUUUCAUCAAAAAAAAAAAAAAAAAAAUCAGCCUCCUCUGUCCUAACAGUUAAAAAUAUAUCUAUAUAAAAGGUCAAGAGUGUCUGUACUACAGCUUUAAAACACUUGACAGAAGAACGCUAUUGUAACCUACAUCCUAGCUGCAUUUGUAUUUUCACCUUCAAAAGAAGUUAGAAAACUGAAGUACAAAAAACUGCUAACACCACAAAAAUAUAUAUUUUUAGCUGCAAACAUACUAAGUCUUUAAAAAAAGUCUAUAUACAAGAACUGCAUAAUUGCAAUGUCAUUCUUCCAUCAUCGCCCAAGCCUCUUCUGCUUUCUGGUAGUACUGAUUUGCCAGUCUGCCCUUCAUUGCUUCCAUUGCUGCUUCCGCUGCUUCUGUGUAGAGAUCACCUAAGGCAGGAAACAGUAUCAGUCACAUUGACAAGGUUACCAAUGGCUGCAAGUGUUGAAUAUGUCUGAAAAACAGGCUCCAAAUUGCUGAGGAGAUGAUUAAUAAAAUUACUUAGAAAAAAAAAACUUCCUAAAGAUACACAGUGAAUUGCUGGCAACAUCAUCAACAGGCAGUGGUUUUGGUGCUUUGUCCAAGUCCUUAACUACAAAGUCAUCCAUCUUCUCUGAAGAGACUACAGAACAUCUAACCAUUGCUUUGUCUCCAUUUCCUCCUAUUCUCGUAUUACUUUUCCAUGUGAACAUGAUUUUGGAUUUUGAAAUUUUCUUUCCUUUUUCUUGUUUACCUCUAAAGUGACCUCAGAAAGAAUGUGAUGUGGCAGCUGUGAGCACAUGAGUCCUAACCCAACAAUGGCUUCCAGCUCCCCGCAGUCUGCAGCAUGCUCCAGGUGGAACAGAGCUGACUCACGAUCCCACUCCUUGUCCUUCUCACAGAAACGCCCCGCCUCAUGGUAACGAACCAUGGCCAGAUGAACCUACAACACAGUAAUACAGGAAAGAUACACAAGUUUGAGUGCAGAUCUGAUUCGUCAGAAGCCAUGUGCCCAUACUUCACUGAGGCACAGAAAUAUCUCGCUGAGGUGUCUACUUAAAGUUGUGCACGCCCCUGCAGAACCAACAGCGGAAACCUUCCCAAAGGAGCCCAACUACUGCAAGUCCAAAGGCAGAUGGAACACAUGGGUUCCUGAACUCAGACAUCCCUUACGAAAUAUGAUCAGGUGACAGAAAGCAUCACACACUUGCCAUUUAUUUUUCACCUGCAAGAUUAACUCAUGCAGGGAAGCACCCAUACAUAAAUAAAAAUACAAGAUCACUUCUUCCAUCUGGAAAGAACAGAAUUACCAAAUCCAUCCUACCUUCCCAAGGAUUGACUUCCCAAUUUUCUUUUCAAGUUCUAGUGCAUUGAGCCUCUGAAUUUCUUGAGCAACACAGGAUGGUCUGUGGAUGUGGACUCUGGAAGAAUUGUAGAGAUUCCAUUUCUCCACACUUAUCUGAAAUGUGGAAUGUAAUACCAAAUUAAAACUUCUACACUAUUCAUUUUGAUUGCCAUUCAGAAAUCAAAGCCUCUAUUGAUAAUACCAUUGAUUAGUAACUUCUUAUUCUAGAAACUAGUUACAACAGGCUAUAUUUUAUAAAAGCAUACAAACAGGUCUGUUUUUCCCUAGGUCAGUUACACAUACAGUGGUGAGAGGCACUUAAAAUGCUACAGGCUUUAAAAACCUUACCCAGCUAUGUAUAUGACACAAUUUGAAAAUAAAGUGCAGAAAUGCAAUAUCAAGUUAGGCAGAAAAAAAUCCAUAGAACUAUCAUUUCUUUUUGAGUUAGAAACCCAGGCAGAGUCACUAAUUUACAUUAGGUACCAGUUACAGAGGUGACUAUUUAUUUAUGAUGGUAUUUCUUUAAGUGAAAAAUAAAGUCAAAAACAAAAAGGAAAGAACACAGAGGGGUACGUUAUUAUUAGCAGAAAUUCUGUAGCUGAAAAGGAAGGAAAACUAAUAUCUGAUUUAGUGAUGUAAAGCUAAACGGUAGAUGAGUGGAACAAAGGACAAGCAGAGUGGUAAACUCAUUGUCUAUGAACAUUUCUGCUUUGUUUACCCUUGCAGAGCUUCCCAAACUGUCUUCAUCAGAUUCAUGUCUUCGGUUGUUGUUUGAAUGGCCCUAUGUUAACGUAAAGAUUUGCAACAUUUAAUUUAAAGCAACCAAUAUGUGCAAGUUACUCCCUUAUAUUACUCCUAUCCAGGAAAACAGGGAAAACAAUCAAAAUAGUUUCCAGUGGAUUCUCUUCACUCAGUGAUGCUGCAGUAUAAGAUAAAAAGGAACGUGCUGAAAUGUAAGGAAUAUAGCACCACCGAGCUUUAAACUAGAUACUCUAUGACAAAUACCCUGCCACUUCAAAGGUGACAAAAAAAGCGCUACCCUUUGAAGCGAUAUUCUCUUUCCUAUCUACAAAUAAGAUAUCUAGUUAAGAUGCUCAGGUCAAAAAGCUUUUCUUUGUAAGUUUUUGUUUUAAGGGAGUAACCACCUAUACCACAGGAAUUCUACUGUUGCAUAUUAUUAACCAAGAACAAUAGUAAAUACUGUGAUACUUCAAGCCAUAACAAGUAAUAGAAAGUAGAGAGGGUAAAGUCUGAAAGCAGGGCACAUUCACAGAUUCAAUAUUACUUGCUAUUAAGGAAUGUUUUUCAAAUGCAAUACACUAUGCAUGGAAAAAAAAAAAACGUAAACCAACAAUAUGCAAUCAAAUGUGAUGUUUGAAAUUAAACUCCUCGUUACAAAUAAGUGUGAAGGUGUCAUGGAUAUUCCCCAGAUGAGAAUUUUGCAAUGUGAGGAAAUUUCUUUCCAAGUGCUUCCUCUGUUUACCAAGUCUAGAUCAGGAGGGAUGAAAAUGAGAUUCUUGUACAGAAUCACUUCAAGUAUGAACAAAAGGCUUAAUUCUGCUAAGCCCACAGUCAGGUUCUUACCUUCUCUCUAUGAUCCAGAUCUUCUAGCUCACUUCUCUUCUCACUGGGAUAUCCACUGUCUCCACCAUUUUCAAAAUCCUACAGAAGAUGAAAAGAAAGCAUCGCAGAAUUAGCACUAUGCUUUGUAAGGAUCUCAGCUCAACACUUCCACAGAGGAAAAUUUCUGCUUGGUUUAAAGACGUAUGUUGUUUAACCUCUGACAGACAGAACAAGACUUAAUGACUCAGAAGAUACAGUUCAAGUCCAUGUUUCCUCUAAGAUAUAUUAUAAAUAAAUAAAAAUCAAGGAUGCAUUUUCAAUCAAGCCAUGAGUCCAUUUAAUGUAGUUUUGACUUCAGUCUUUUUGUCUUAGGCAGUUAAAAGAUAAAACAAUUAAUGGACAGCCCUGGUAUGGCGGUCCUGGUGUAGGAAAAUUCCUCUCACAAACUUACUGCAGUCUCCUCAGCUGAGAUUCUCUAACAUCCCACAGUAUGGAUAUUUGCAGAGACCUAAUCAAUGGGGAUUCUGUUUAGAUGUCAUACCACAGCUGCUGGCAAAAGUGCCAGAGGCACACACAGCAUGCAGGCAGGGGAACAGAUACAUACUUUAAUUAUCUGUUAAAAUAUACCAGAUGUAAAUAAGUUACUGAAGAAAAAAAUAUACUAUUUCAAAAUAAAAUAUUCUUCCUUUAUAAGAAACAACAAAUUCAUGAAGGUAAUGGGACCUGCAGCACUGAGAGCAGCUGAGAGCCUUCAUGUGCUCUUACUGAGCAAAGCCUUCUGAUAGUUCUUUGAAGAGAUAUUCUCUAAGGAACUGCAAUCUCAUUUUCCAUUGGAAAGACACUCACCCUUUGGUUAUCAAGCUGAUCAUAGUCUUUGUGAACCAAAUUAUCUACUUCAUUGAACACAGGCCAAUCUAGGACAAAAAAAAAAGUGCAUCUUAUUCUAAGGAUAACAUGCCUAAGGAGAAAAUUCUAGAUGUUAUCUUACUUCAAUCAGUUUCUUCAUAAAAACAUCCUUAAGAAAUGAAAACAUUAAUUGUCUACACAGAAGUACUUUGACUAAAUACAACAUACACUGUAUUUAAAACCAACCAAAUGACACAAGACACUGCCAAAUAUUUAAGAACCCUCAAGGAAGCUAUGUGUGAAGAGCACUCACGAAGCAUGUCCAUCUUUUGGCUGUGGGGGGUUGCAGAAGAAGGAGAGCAGGGCAGGGAGUCAAACGCCACAUCGCUCAUGCUUUCAUCUCCAGAGUUUUCAGACAGGCGGGAGAGCAGGGGAGGCCGACUACCAGAGAUGGUCCUCACCCGGCUGCUGCCACACUUCUCCUCUGUGCCACGCAGAAUUGUCUGAGCCGAUUCCUUGGCAAAUUAACAAGAAAAUCCCAUGAGUAAUGCUUCACUGUAUUCUAAUUAUGAUACAUAAGUCAACAUGGCUGCUCCUCCACAGGGGCCCUCUCCACAGAAGUAGGGGGAAAAGUAAGCAGGUAUACCUGUUGACUCCCUUUGUAAAGUUCUAGACCCUGACAACAUAUCAACUGCUGGCAUUAUUACAGCCAGAGAAAAUUCAGGUUAGGAAUGAAUUUCAUUCAAAAUGUAUCCCAAAGUUCCAGCCUUGCAAACAUCAACUGAAGCUGAGAUCAGUUAAAGGUGAGCAGUUCUAUUCUUUUUUAGUUUCCAAAUUAGUUUUGUGACCUAAAAAAACCCACCCUACUAACGAUUUUAGCAUUCAAAGCAUUCAGAUUUGGUCCCAAAUAUGUCUGUAUUGCAAUGUUCUCCAUUAAUUAAAAUUACUGCAUGAAUUCAGAGGACAGAUAAGUAAAUUUUAAACUGCUGUAUUUUAAACUGCAACAUUAGUAAUUAAUGUGUUUUAUCUACCACAUAAAUCAUAUAUUUGAGUUUUAUUAACAGUUCUUUUAAAAUCAGAAUAAAUCAGCUAUAUUGCUUAGCUA